UGCUCAAGGCUGCACUCUACUACUUGAGCCACAGUGCCACUUCUGGCUUUUUCUGUUUAUGUGGUGCUGAGGAAUGAAAUCCAGGACUUCAUGCAUGCUAGGCAAGCACUCUACCACUAAGCCUGAUUCCCAGACCCAGGAUAAUUCUUUUGAGCCUGUUUUGAAAAUAA